GUUCUUACCUGGCAGGGGAGAUACCACGACCACAAACGUGAUUUUCCCACAGUGAGGCUCAUCCAUUGCACUUCGGUGUGCUAACCCCGGCCAUUUCCUCAAAUGUGAAACUAGACUGCAUAAUUUGUGGUAAUAAUAUUAAUAAUACCAAAUGGAAUAAUU
rfam:Loxodonta africana unplaced genomic scaffold scaffold_11, whole genome shotgun sequence.